rnacentral:rRNA from 1 species
UGUUGUUAGGGAAGAACAAGUGCGAGAGUAACUGCUCGCACCUUGACGGUACCUAACCAGAAAGCCACGGCUAACUACGUGCCAGCAGCCGCGGUAAUACGUAGGUGGCAAGCGUUGUCCGGAAUUAUUGGGCGUAAAGGGCUCGCAGGCGGUUUCUUAAGUCUGAUGUGAAAGCCCCCGGCUCAACCGGGGAGGGUCAUUGGAAACUGGGAAACUUGAGUGCAGAAGAGGAGAGUGGAAUUCCACGUGUAGCGGUGAAAUGCGUAGAGAUGUGGAGGAACACCAGUGGCGAAGGCGACUCUCUGGUCUGUAACUGACGCUGAGGAGCGAAAGCGUGGGGAGCGAACAGGAUUAGAUACCCUGGUAGUCCACGCCGUAAACGAUGAGUGCUAAGUGUUAGGGGGUUUCCGCCC